UUUCCUGCAAAACAAGAAAAGAAGAAAAUUUUAAUGUUUUUAAAAAAAAAAAAAACAUCAAUUAAGAUGCAAUUGUCAAACAAGCCGAAAUUUUAAUAAUUAAUUAACCAUUCAACAACGUAUAUGUAUUUAGUGUUAAAAUUGUGUUGUCUUUGUGUAUGUCCUAGAGUUUAAGUGAUUUCAACUGUAAGGAUUUUUAACGCCAGGAUAGUAAUCACAAGUUGUGUGCGAUUUCAGAGAGGUCGGGUAUUAGAAUUGGUCAUUUUGGCCCAGGAAUAACCAUCUUAAGCGAGCUCUCUUAGGGUAGGCAUUUGGUAAUAAAAUUUGCGUGAAUAAAAAUCAAUAGUCUCUCGCUAAACUGGUGUUAGAUAUUCCGUAAAAAAAAAAAAAGAGAAAGAUUAAACAAUUAAAAAAAAAAACGAAAUUAGUUUUAAGAAACCUUUUAUAAAAUAAAUGUUUUAAUGUUUGGUUCGUGAAAGAAAUAUGUGGUGAUCUGUUAGUAAGCGGGGGGUUUCCCUUGGAGUAAAUAUCCACGAUCCAAAUCAGGCAACAGUUAUAUAUUUAUAGUUGUUGACCACUUUUCCAAAUUUGUGUUUCUAAAAGCCAUGAAAGAAGCCACCACCUCUAACGUUGUUAAAUUCUUAGUGCAAGAGAUAUUUAGAAAAUUCGGAGUUCCUGAGACGAUCCAUACAGAUAAUGGAGCUCAAUUCACGGCUAAAGGAUUCAAGGAAAUGGUUGAAAUGUUUAAGAUCAACCAUAUGCAGACAGCACCCUACUCGCCGCAGUCGAACGCCUCAGAGAGGGUGAACCAGUCCGUACUAGCCGCAAUUCGAGCCUAUUUAGAGGAUGACCAUAGGGAUUGGGAUGUCUACCUAACAGAAAUUGAAUGCGCAUUAAGGUCGUCAAUACAUACAGCCACUGGGGUAACACCCUUUUUCGCACUUUUCGGAUACGAGAUGUACACUAACGGCAGUGAUUAUAAACUGGCAAGGAAAUUAAAAUCGCUAUGUGACUACGCAAUAAAUGACCUAAGUCGGAAGGAAAAAUUAGAGAUCAUUAGGGAAAGAAUAGCAAAAAACCUACACCAUGCCUAUGAGAGGAGUGCCAAACGUUAUAAUCAGCGUGCACGCUUAGUGCAAUUUUUACCUGGACAGGAGGUCUUUAGACGAAACCAUGUUUUAAGUGAUUUUGGCAAGAACAUCAACUCAAAAUUUUGCAAGAAAUAUCUCAAAUGUAGGAUAGUUAAACCUGUGGGAAACAAUAUGUUUGAAAUUGAGGACAUGCAAGGCAAGUCGUUAGGGACGUGUCACGUAAAGGACCUAAAAAGGUAAGGCUACCCGCUGCGGAGCUCCCUUAUUAUGGCAAACUUGGAAAAUAUUAGGCAGUUGUGAAUUCUAACUAGGCUACAGCUUUUGGGCCAUGUAGCUAGACCAUAACCACAUAGAUGGCUUCCCAUAUGGGGGCCCCAUGCGGGGUCGGAACUAUGCCAUCACGCCCUGGGAAGUUAGACCAAAGUGGAAGGUGUUGAAGUAAGAUUCAAACUACGUAAAAAUCCCAACUAUUGCCAAUAAUAAAGAGAAAAAUUCCACAGACGUAAUGUCAGCCUUUGUCGAUAUGUAAAUUCUAUAAUUUGAAAUGAAAAUAGUAUCAACUUUCCUCACCUUCCCCAUAGAUAUCACUAGUACACCCUAUUUUUUUGGGCGGAAAUGCAGAACAAACCAAUAUAAAAACUUAAGUUGGGAAUAAUUUAAACAAUUCAUUUGAAUUAUAUGGGCACUGUUUGUGGAUGCCUCAACAGCAUUGGAAAGGAUUUCCCACUAAGUGGGCAAACAUUCUUUUUUAGAAAUGGCUAAGUGAUAAGGUAUCAGAAAUUAAAAUACAUUUUUUAAAAACUUUCAUUAUUUCCUUCCUUUUCUUCCACAAACUCUGUACCCAAUAUUGCACUUUUCCCUAAUUCUUGGUAUGAACAUAUCCCUGUUGGGGUGGUAAAAUGAUUUUACAUCUUGGUUCAUUAACCUCUUGGCGGUGCAUUAUUUCCAAUCUUUGGAAGAAUUCCGGUCCGUGUCAUAUUCUAGUAUCAUCUACAAAGGUGUAACUUACCCGAAGAAUUUCCUUGGGCUAUGUGGGGUACAUCGUCUGUUUUUUCGGCAAUCAAAAAAAAAAAAAAAAAAAGGUUGUGUCCACGGGGGUAUCGCUUUGUUGGUUUUGCCGACUGAUAUAUACCCUCAGCUCAGGAUGGUCCUUCUAGUAUGCUGACCAAUUAUGAGGGACGUUCCGAAAGUGUCAAGCAAUAUUGCUCAUUCCAUAGCUUAUUCUGAUAUAAAUAUUAUAACACGCCAGAUUUGGACUACAUGUACUUCUUCCUGCUUUUUAUAAAAGAUAUGCCAUAAGUUUCCACUUUGCCAAAUACUGGUACGAACAUUGGGACCUGUAAAUGUCAAAGAAAAUCAAAUAAUUGGUAAUCAAAAUUUGAAAUUUGGAGGUACCCGGAGUGGUCCGAUAAAUGCCUUAUUCACAUCAAACACCUGGUUGAGAGAAAUAUUCAUCAAGUUUGAUAAGUUCCGCUUACUUGAUUCCAUUAAUAGGGGGAUGUGACCCUAGGUGAGGGAGGUACUAGAAGGAGUGGACCGAUAUUGCCCGUCUUGAUCUAAGUUUGAUAAUAAUAUUACGAUGUACCAAGUUUGGACGAAAUCGGAUAUACCUUUCGAGAGUUAUCGUGCCAAAUGUCCGGAAACUAGUCAUAUGGCUGAGGGUAUAAUAAGGGCAUUACUAAACGGACAGACUGCAUAUUGUAACACACGAAACAAACCAUAACACAUCCACAACAAAGAAUCGGCAUCCCGUUUCGUGGGCUGAUCUCCUUUGGGUGUGGCGAUCAUGAAAUGUGUAAAGCACACGCGCCCUUGUAGCAGCAAAUUCGAUCAUUGGUGGCCAGAAUAAAUAAUGUUAACUUUUGUGUGUCCGUGGACGGACGGACCUCCAACAUCCAUAC